UAUAGGUUUGGUCCCAGCCUUCCUGUUAACUUUCAAUAGACUUAUACAUGCAAGCAUCCACGCCCCGGUGAGUAACGCCCUUCGAAUCACACAGGACUAAAAGGAGCAGGUAUCAAGCACACACUCUUGUAGCUCACAACGCCUUGCUUAACCACACCCCCACGGGAGACAGCAGUAACAAAAAUUAAGCCAUAAACGAAAGUUUGACUAAGCCAUAUUGACUAGGGUUGGUAAAUCUCGUGCCAGCCACCGCGGUCAUACGAUUGACCCAAGCUAACAGGAGUACGGCGUAAAGCGUGUUAAAGCAUCAUACUAAAUAGAGUUAAAUUUUAAUUGAACUGUAAAAAGCCAUAAUUAUAACAAAAAUAAAUGACGAAAGUAACCCUACAAUAGCUGAUACACCAUAGCUAAGACCCAAACUGGGAUUAGAUACCCCACUAUGCUUAGCCCUAAACACAAAUAAUUAU
rnacentral:rRNA from 1 species